CCAGGAAGAAGGUGUUGCAGCCACCUUUUGUCCCACCCACCCCCAACUGAUAUUUGUGUCUUGGUUCCUGUUGAAGUCUUGGUUGUCUAUGGGGUCCUGAGUGUGGCUUGUCUCUGCAGGACUGUCAGUUGAUCUCUGCCACGUGUGCUCAACAGUCGUGUGCUCAACAGUCGUUGACUUUCCAGAAGAGGCUGGAACAGGGCCCUUGAAGGUAUGAAUCCAGACGCCUCACGAGAGAGAGAGCUGCUGUGGUCCGGCAAAGGCCACAGUCAUAAGAGAGAGAGAGCUGCUGUGGUCCGGCAAAGGCCACAGUCAUAAGGAAAAGCAGAGGCUGCUUCCCCACCCAGGCCGGCAGGGACGUGUCGGUUAGUGAGUCCUCAGAAGUACCCCCAAACUUGUCUGUUUCAUUGAUUGUCUUAGUAAAAGGCCACUAAAGCAGCACUACACCGUCGCUUGGCGUGUGUAGGGUGAUCAUGCCUGCAGGCAGUAGUAUGACAGCUCGUGUUGGAGAAGCUUGGAGAAUUGGAAGCUGCCUCUGUCAGAAGCUGUAGAUGUGGUCACUGUUCCUGGUCACUUAUCCCAGCUUGGCCCUUUGCUAAGCUGUCCACCUAUCCAUUGUGGUUUCCAGUCUGUCCCUGUAUUCGAAAGUGAUUAUGGGCUGCCCGUGCCCCGGUCAUUGAUACUGCAGGGAGAGGAUACGGAAAGCCUUUUCCCCGUGUUUGGAAGGUCUCCUGUCCUUACCAAACCCUGGUGCUUUCGAACAAAUCUUCUCAGCCUAUUGGUCUCUUGGCUGCUGAUACCUGGCUCACUGAGUGUCCUCUAUGAGUGCUGGCCAGUGUCCUCAGAGGCUUCUGUAAGGGAGAUAGAAGCCAGCCU
rnacentral:lncRNA from 1 species